rnacentral:rRNA from 1 species
CCUACGGGAGGCUGCAGUGGGGAAUAUUGGACAAUGGGCGAAAGCCUGAUCCAGCCAUGCCGCGUGUGUGAAGAAGGCCUUCGGGUUGUAAAGCACUUUCAGUGGGGAAGAAAGCCUUGGGGCUAAUACCCUCGAGGAAGGACAUCACCCACAGAAGAAGCACCGGCUAACUCCGUGCCAGCAGCCGCGGUAAUACGGAGGGCGCGAGCGUUAAUCGGAAUUACUGGGCGUAAAGCGCGCGUAGGCGGUCUGAUAAGCCGGUUGUGAAAGCCCCGGGCUCAACCUGGGAACGGCAUCCGGAACUGUCAGGCUAGAGUGCAGGAGAGGAAGGUAGAAUUCCCGGUGUAGCGGUGAAAUGCGUAGAGAUCGGGAGGAAUACCAGUGGCGAAGGCGGCCUUCUGGACUGACACUGACGCUGAGGUGCGAAAGCGUGGGUAGCAAACAGGAUUAGAUACCCCAGUAGUC